rnacentral:lncRNA from 1 species
CUAUGCUCAGCUAGACGUUCUAGAUUAUGCCAAUACAACUUAGCUUGGCUGAUUAACUUUAUUUUGGCAAAUCUAAUUUUUUAAGCUUCAGACAUGUCAUACCACUUGAAGAAGUGGUCCAUAUCUGCCUCCCAGUCCAAAUACUCCUUAGGAUUAAGCGAACCAUCGAAGCUGGGUGCUUCUACCUUAACAUUUCUUAGGACAUGCUCAUCCUGAUCCAUGGGCUCAUGACAAGGGCGCAUAUCUAACCUACAACCCAUAUCUAGACCCU